CCUACGGGUGACAGCAGUGAGGACUAUUGGUCAAUGGACGGGAGUCUGAACCAUCCAAGUCGCGUGAAGGAUGACUGCCCUAUGGGUUGUCAACUUCUUUUAUAAAUGGAUAAAACGAAGCACGUGUGCCCUUUUGAAUGUACUUUAUGAAUAAGGAUCGGCUAACUCCGUGCCAGCAGCCGCGGUAAUACGGAGGAUCCGAGCGUUAUCCGGAUUUAUUGGGUUUAAAGGGUGCGUAGAUGGGUUGUUAAGUCAGGUGUGAAAGGUUGCGGCUUAACCGUAAAAUUGCAAGUGAUACUGGCAGUCUAGAGUAUAGUUGCGGUAGGCGGAAUGCGUGGUGUAGCGGUGAAAUGCUUAGAUAUCACGAAGAACCCCGAUUGCGAAGGCAGCUUACUAAACUGUAACUGACAUUGAGGCACGAAAGCGUGGGUAUCAAACAGGAUUAGAGACCCGGGUAGUC
rnacentral:rRNA from 1 species